AGCCCCGGCAGAGACUAAUGCUGCUCUUUAAAAUUUGCAAUCUUAUGUGCUAUACACUACAAGGCU
rnacentral:tRNA from 1 species